AUGAAAACACCAUAUUGCGAUUAAGUUUUUAUUAAAUAAAUUACUAUCGAAAAUUAAAAGAAAAGGGAUAAUAGCAGUAGUAGCAGUAGUAGUAGUAGUAGUAGUAGUAGUAGUAGCAGCCAUCAGAUGAGUAUUGUAACACGUGUUCUACAAAACAUUCUUAAUCUAAAACUU